AUCCCCCUGCGCUUUUUCUUCUCCAGGAUGAACAGUCCCAGCUCUUUCAGCCUUUCCUUAUAGGAGAGGUGCUCCAGACCCUCCAUCAUCUUGGUGGCUAUUUGCUGGAUGCAGCUUCAGCUGGCUCUACUUACAGAAAAGUUGAAAAACAGAAAAAGGAUGAUAUACCUGACACAAGCUUCUACAUCAAGAAAAACACUAAUAUUUAUUGGAAUAAUUGGAAAGAUGUUCAUCAUUUUAUAUUCCUUUUUGGUCAUUGUCACUGUCAUAGAGUACUCAAAAAACAGAAAAGACUUCUUGAAGCAUUUUCCAUCUCUUCUCCAUCUCAGAAGACAGGAAAAAUACUCUCGUAGCUGACAGUGGAAAUCUGACUUUUAGGUCUUAUAUGACAGAAAGACACACUUAAGGGAAGAAGAUAUUCAGUGACAUAGACUCCUGACUUACCAGAAAUAAAAGCUCAGCAUUCAGCCACCCUGGGUUCCCUAGCCCAAUUCUUUAAAUUAUAUAAUGCUUUGACUUUUUUUUUUUUUUUUUUUUUUUUUUUUACAAAUCCAUAAUAUCACUAUACACAUGUUGGUUUUCACUUUGUAAACAUUUAUUGUUGUUUUCUUGAAGAUAUAACAAUGUCAACAUCCUAAAUUUCCAGCAUACAUCUCAGAUUUGAUUAUU